GACGAACGCUGGCGGCGUGCUUAACACAUGCAAGUCGAGCGGCAAGGCCCUUUCGGGGGUACACGAGCGGCGAACGGGUGAGUAACACGUGGGUGACCUGCCCUCAGCUCUGGGAUAAGCCUGGGAAACCGGGUCUAAUACCGGAUAUGACUCCAUGACGCAUGUUGUGGGGUGGAAAGCCUUGUGCGGCUGAGGAUGGGCCCGCGGCCUAUCAGCUUGUUGGUGGGGGAUGGCCUACCAAGGCGACGACGGGUAGCCGGCCUGAGAGGGCGACCGGCCACACUGGGACUGAGACACGGCCCAGACUCCUACGGGAGGCAGCAGUGGGGAAUCUUGCGCAAUGGGCGAAAGCCUGACGCAGCGACGCCGCGUGAGGGAUGACGGCCUGGUGUAACGU
rnacentral:rRNA from 1 species